rnacentral:snRNA from 1 species
AUACUUACCUGGCGUAGGGGUUACCGUGAUCAUGAAGGCGGUUCCUCCGGAGCGAGGCUUGGCCAUUGCACUUCGGCUGAGUUGACCUUCGCGAUUAUUCCUAAUGCGAAUAAAGUGCCAUAACUAAGC